AGAGUUUGAUCAUGGCUCAGAUUGAACGCUGGCGGCAGGCCUAACACAUGCAAGUCGAGCGGUAGCACAGAGAGCUUGCUCUCGGGUGACGAGCGGCGGACGGGUGAGUAAUGUCUGGGAAACUGCCUGAUGGAGGGGGAUAACUACUGGAAACGGUAGCUAAUACCGCAUAAUGUCGCAAGACCAAAGUGGGGGACCUUCGGGCCUCAUGCCAUCAGAUGUGCCCAGAUGGGAUUAGCUAGUAGGUGGGGUAACGGCUCACCUAGGCGACGAUCCCUAGCUGGUCUGAGAGGAUGACCAGCCACACUGGAACUGAGACACGGUCCAGACUCCUACGGGAGGCAGCAGUGGGGAAUAUUGCACAAUGGGCGCAAGCCUGAUGCAGCCAUGCCGCGUGUGUGAAGAAGGCCUUCGGGUUGUAAAGCACUUUCAGCGGGGAGGAAGGCGUUAAGGUUAAUAACCUUGGCGAUUGACGUUACCCGCAGAAGAAGCACCGGCUAACUCCGUGCCAGCAGCCGCGGUAAUACGGAGGGUGCAAGCGUUAAUCGGAAUUACUGGGCGUAAAGCGCACGCAGGCGGUCUGUCAAGUCGGAUGUGAAAUCCCCGGGCUCAACCUGGGAACUGCAUUCGAAACUGGCAGGCUAGAGUCUUGUAGAGGGGGGUAGAAUUCCAGGUGUAGCGGUGAAAUGCGUAGAGAUCUGGAGGAAUACCGGUGGCGAAGGCGGCCCCCUGGACAAAGACUGACGCUCAGGUGCGAAAGCGUGGGGAGCAAACAGGAUUAGAUACCCUGGUAGUCCACGCCGUAAACGAUGUCGAUUUGGAGGUUGUGCCCUUGAGGCGUGGCUUCCGGAGCUAACGCGUUAAAUCGACCGCCUGGGGAGUACGGCCGCAAGGUUAAAACUCAAAUGAAUUGACGGGGGCCCGCACAAGCGGUGGAGCAUGUGGUUUAAUUCGAUGCAACGCGAAGAACCUUACCUGGUCUUGACAUCCACAGAACUUUCCAGAGAUGGAUUGGUGCCUUCGGGAACUGUGAGACAGGUGCUGCAUGGCUGUCGUCAGCUCGUGUUGUGAAAUGUUGGGUUAAGUCCCGCAACGAGCGCAACCCUUAUCCUUUGUUGCCAGCGGUCCGGCCGGGAACUCAAAGGAGACUGCCAGUGAUAAACUGGAGGAAGGUGGGGAUGACGUCAAGUCAUCAUGGCCCUUACGACCAGGGCUACACACGUGCUACAAUGGCAUAUACAAAGAGAAGCGACCUCGCGAGAGCAAGCGGACCUCAUAAAGUAUGUCGUAGUCCGGAUUGGAGUCUGCAACUCGACUCCAUGAAGUCGGAAUCGCUAGUAAUCGUAGAUCAGAAUGCUACGGUGAAUACGUUCCCGGGCCUUGUACACACCGCCCGUCACACCAUGGGAGUGGGUUGCAAAAGAAGUAGGUAGCUUAACCUUCGGGAGGGCGCUUACCACUUUGUGAUUCAUGACUGGGGUGAAGUCGUAACAAGGUAACCGUAGGGGAACCUGCGGUUGGAUCACCU
rnacentral:rRNA from 17 species